ensembl:lncRNA
UCUGGAGAGAGUUUGCUGCACUGAAGUAAAGGGGCUGAAUAAUUUUGCACGCCCAAUUUUUCAGUUUUUGAUUUGUUAAAAAAGUUUGAAAUAUCCAAUAAAUGUCGUUCCACUUCAUGAUUUUGUCGCACUUGUUGUUGAUUCUUCACAAAAAAAUACAGUUUUUUAUCUUUAUGUUUGAAGCCUGAAAUGUGGCAAAAGGUCGCAAAGUUCAAGGGGGCCGAAUACUUUCGCAAGGCACUGUAGUUCACUACUUUGGCCCUGGUCAAAUGUAGUACACUAUAGAGGGAAUAGGGAGCCAUUUCGGACUCACCCCCAGCCUUCCUUAUAUCGGACAUCUUUUUGUUGGCUCUCCCAGGUCGUACAGUGGCCUCCUCGGGGGGCUCAGCUCCCUUCAGGGCCUUCCCUAAGUCUCUGAGUGUGGACUUUGGAGGGCUCAGCCAACAGCACAGUCGCAGUGCCCUCAGCGUCGCCCCCCCAGCCCCCAGCCCCAACACACACACAGACCACCAGGACCGCUACGCUGCCCUGUCCCAACUGAACAGUGUCUUCCCUGACACAUCACCCAGACCUGCAACUGGACCAGGAUUUACAGCACCCCCCGGUGGACUACGCCAGUAUAACACGCUCUUUGGGAAGCGCCUGUCCUCCAGUUCUACUCCUGCCAGCUCUCCAGGCGUGGAUGCCGUGACGGGAUCCCAAACAUUUGCAACUUUCCCCAACCCAUUCAGCUCCUGUUCCAGCUCUCAGCAGCAGCAGCAGCAGCCUGCCCUCUCUCCCAGUAACCCCUUCCACAGCUCCACCUCAGGAGGUGACUCCAGUGGGUUUGUCACCUCUCCCACUUCAGUGUUUCCUCCGUCUGCCAACUUCCCAGCUUCCACUACCCAGAAUGCAUUUACUCAUGAGCAUGCCAACAAACAGGAAACCAACAGUUUUACCUCUUUCCCUGCGCCGGACUCUCAGCCCAAAGUUCCUUGUCCAAUGUCAGUGAACCCAUUCACUGGGAAUGUUUACCCGAGUAGAGGAAUGUCGCGAAACCCUUUCAUCUGA